GUAUAUUGGGAUUAUCAUUUAGCAGAAUAUUCGAGAAUAUAGCAAUUUUAAUUUUUGAAUUUGCUUAUCUCCCUUUAUUCCUUUAAAUGAGAAAGUUAUUUGUCUUUUAGGAGGAAAUGUAACAUGCAAGGAAAAGUAAAAUGGUUUAAUAACGAAAAAGGUUUCGGUUUUAUCGAAAUUGAAGGUGCUGAAGAUGUAUUCGUACACUUCACAGCUAUCCAAGGCGACGGUUACAAAGCUUUAGAGGAAGGUCAAGAAGUUUCUUUUGAAAUCGUAGAAGGAAACCGCGGACCUCAAGCUGCUAACGUAGUAAAACUGUAAUUCGCUAUAUAACAGGAGGUUACCUUUUCGGUAACCUCCUUUUC
rnacentral:sRNA from 1 species